rnacentral:misc_RNA from 1 species
UUGCGUCGAUAGCCGCAAACAAAAAAAAAGGAGCGAAGGCAGCACUUCUGCGCUCGAGGGUAUUUUUCGACCUGUGACGUACAGACAAGCCCACAGCCUCACACACGCAUCAGGAGACAGUGGAGAGGAACCUAAGGAUAUUCGCUGCAAUGUUGUGCUGUUCGGCGGGCCGCGCAGCGGCGGUAGCGGUUUUGGCGGCCAUCCUCUGCGUGUCGGUGCUGGCAGCGCCGCCAGCAUCGGCCGAGGCCGCAGUCCCCAACAGCGCUGCGCGCACGGUUCCACCCUUCGAGCAGUUUUUCGCACAAUCAUUCCAGGUAAGCGUCAUGACGCAGUCGUCUGGCGUCUUCAACGCAACGCUGCGCAUGCGCGCCUCACCAAAUUUCCCGGAGAGGGUGCAGGGCGAGCUGAUCCCAAUCGGCGAGGCGAAGCUCAACAGCCAGAGGCAGACUCUUCUUCCGCACUUCCAGCGCACCCGCAGCUUAGAGGACGACAGGCUCUCCGCUCUCUCGUGCUCCAUGGCCGCCGGCUUUGGCCGAACAAACCGCAAAAAGAAGGGCAGCACCGACGAGAGUGGCAGCGGCGAGUUUGCCGUCGCUGGAAAGGAGGAGCGUCCGUCGCUGCUCAUGGUGGAUCUGCAUCUGCGGCACAGCGAUGCGAUGCAGGGAACGGCGAGCGUGUAUUACCUGCCGGCGGAUUUGAUGGCGCUGCGUGCGCAACGCGAAGGCAUAAAAGAGGGUAGCGCGCCGCCGUCUGCGACGGUCGAGUUUGAAUUCCGCUCCGAGGUGGACCAUAUGAGCGGCAACCCACUCAGUGACGUACAAGCCCUUGCGCACGUCUCGAGCGCCGUGGUGACUAUGGGUGACCAAAGUGGGGCUUCGAAGUCGUCGAGCGUAGCCGGUGAGAAAGUCGAUGAUGGGUCGGCGGCUGCAACCAGGCAGGGUGGCAUAAUCUUCCGCUGGAUCACUGAGCACGAGUUCUCGGCUUAUGUGACGAUUCCGAUCACUGACAAGACGGGUGCGACAUCGACGCACAUGGAGCAAAUUUGGGUCUACGGCUACGCCGUUCCCUCGAAGAGCGUGUUUGAUCGCAAGCAACGCGAGCUGCCGUUGCACAACAGGUACAUGAUGUUCGGCGUAGGCCUCCUGGGCUUUUUCGUGCAGGUUGUCUCUGGUAUUACAGAAGGUAAGAGACGCGCACAGGAGGCAGCCGAUUUGGAGGCGAAGGCGCAGGGGCUGGAGAAGGCCAAGCUGGAGGCGCCGCUUCUUGAGCGGGAGCGCAACAGCAAGAAAAAGAAGUGAAGACGGCGCGUCAGCGAUUUGACGCAAAGAGCGACAGAGGCGCCCGCGCCGGAGGGCUUACACGUGUGCGUCUCGCCCUCUCUCGCCCUUCACCUCCUCUUUUGCACAUCCCUUGUGCUUGGCCCUCCGUGGGCGUGCAUGGAAACAGGAGGAGAAGAGCGCGCUCGUGUACGCUUUCCAUUGUGUGUGUGUGUGUGCCUUCUUCUUUCUCUCUUUUCGAUAUCGAUCUAGUAUGGCAAUCCGCAUCACUAACGUGCAAAAC